GAUGAACGCUGGCGGCGUGCUUAACACAUGCAAGUCGAACGAGAAGUGAAGACGGAAACCUUCGGGCGGAAGGCUUUAUUUCGAGUGGCGGACGGGUGAGUAACGCGUGGGUAACCUGCCUCAUACAGGGGGAUAACAGUUGGAAACGACUGUUAAUACCGCAUAAGACCACAGCACCGCAUGGUGCGGGGGUAAAAACUCCGGUGGUAUGAGAUGGACCCGCGUUCGAUUAGCCAGUUGGCGGGGUAACGCCCACCAAAGCGACGAUCGAUAGCCGAUCUGAGAGGAUGACCGGCCACAUUGGGACUGAGACACGGCCCAAACUCCUACGGGAGGCAGCAGUGGGGAAUAUUGCACAAUGGGGGAAACCCUGAUGCAGCGACGCCGCGUGAGUGAAGAAGUAUUUCGCUAUGUAAAGCUCUACCAGCAGGGAAGAAAAUGACGGUACCUGAGUAAGAAGCCCCGGCUAACUACGUG
rnacentral:rRNA from 1 species